AACAGGAUUAGAUACCCUGGUAGUCCACGCCGUAAACGAUGUCGACUUGGAGGCUGUUCCCCUGAGGAGUGGCUUCCGGAGCUAACGCGUUAAGUCGACCGCCUGGGGAGUACGGCCGCAAGGUUAAAACUCAAAUGAAUUGACGGGGGCCCGCACAAGCGGUGGAGCAUGUGGUUUAAUUCGAUGCAACGCGAAGAACCUUACCUACUCUUGACAUCCAGAGAACUUUCCAGAGAUGGAUUGGUGCCUUCGGGAGCUCUGAGACAGGUGCUGCAUGGCUGUCGUCAGCUCGUGUUGUGAAAUGUUGGGUUAAGUCCCGCAACGAGCGCAACCCUUAUCCUUUGUUGCCAGCGAUUCGGUCGGGAACUCAAAGGAGACUGCCGGUGAUAAACCGGAGGAAGGUGGGGAUGACGUCAAGUCAUCAUGGCCCUUACGAGUAGGGCUACACACGUGCUACAAUGGCGCAUACAAAGAGAAGCGACCUCGCGAGAGCAAGCGGACCUCAUAAAGUGCGUCGUAGUCCGGAUCGGAGUCUGCAACUCGACUCCGUGAAGUCGGAAUCGCUAGUAAUCGUGGAUCAGAAUGCCACGGUGAAUACGUUCCCGGGCCUUGUACACACCGCCCGUCACACCAUGGGAGUGGGUUGCAAAAGAAGUAGGUAGCUUAACCUUCGGGAGGGCGCUUACCACUUUGUGAUUCAUGACUGGGGUGAAGUCGUAACAAGGUAGC
rnacentral:rRNA from 1 species